AAUAGAUACCCGGGUAGUCCACGCCGUAAACGAUGAGUGCUAGGUGUUGGGGGGGUCCACCCCUCGGUGCCGAAGUUAACACAUUAAGCACUCCGCCUGGGGAGUACGGUCGCAAGACUGAAACUCAAAGGAAUUGACGGGGACCCGCACAAGCAGUGGAGUAUGUGGUUUAAUUCGAAGCAACGCGAAGAACCUUACCAGGUCUUGACAUCCCUCUGAAUACGUUAGAGAUAGCGUAGGCCUUCGGGACAGAGGAGACAGGUGGUGCAUGGUUGUCGUCAGCUCGUGUCGUGAGAUGUUGGGUUAAGUCCCGCAACGAGCGCAACCCUUAAGCUUAGUUGCCAGCGCGUAAAGGCGGGCACUCUAAGGUGACUGCCGGUGACAAACCGGAGGAAGGCGGGGAUGACGUCAAAUCAUCAUGCCCCUUAUGACCUGGGCUACACACGUACUACAAUGGCCGGUACAACGGGCAGCGAAGGGGCGACCCGGAGCCAAUCCUAUCAAAGCCGGUCUCAGUUCGGAUUGCAGGCUGCAACUCGCCUGC
rnacentral:rRNA from 1 species